UUGUGGAUGUUUGGUGAAGCUGCUAGUGUAUCUGCUAGAGGGGGAGUCUUCAGAGAAUUAGUUGAUGAUAUGAUAGAGCGAAAGUGUAUAUUGAAAUGGAACACUAUCGCUACAAGUCAAUCAAAAUAUGCACUUGAAUCUGAUGACUUCCAUGGUUCUAGCUCUGCAAGUUCAAAUGAAACCAUACACCAGGUAUGCAAAGAAUUCACAUGGUCUGGGAGACCUAAGACGACAAAAUAUAUCUAGCACUUCUGCGUGACCAAGGAAAUUCUGAUACAUGCACAAUGCAUUCCUGUUUGGGAGCAAUGGAGUCCAUUUACAAACACCAGUAUGCUUGUUUGGAACCACCACAGGACUUCAGUUGGAUUUUAUCCACUGAUAAUUUGAUGGAAGAAUACAAGGAAGUUGUUGGAAAAGAAAUUAGAAUCAUCGACUUGCUACUGUACUGCAAAUUCUAGAAGAAUGUGGUGUCCUAGGCAGAAGAAAGCAACAACCUGAGGUUGCAAGUAAUUUCAGAAUCAAAUCCCAACCUCAACUUCCCAUCAAGAAGGACCAAGAGAUAAAAACCGUCUUCAAUACUGUCAAGAAUGGAAAAUUUCCAGUGGCACAUUUCCGCAUGUCGGAAAACUUCUUCUCCUUAAGGCCAGGGGAGAUUGGCCACUAUGACUACCAGAAGCCCUACCUUCAUCCCGUGUGUUCUUUACUAGCUUCUCAUGCAGUGAUGAUAAUUGGCUCAGCGAUGACCAUGACAGAGGUGAAUAAGAGAAGAGAAAACAGUGCGCUAUCCAUCUGAGCCUACAGAAUAGCGCGGGCAGUCUGUUUGGCGAGAAUGGUAGUGGUUACGUUGGGUUGGAAUCUAUACGAGGCCUGUAUCAACUCGAUCUUUGAAACUGUGCUACUUCUCUAGCUAGCUGCUGCUCCUGCUACUUUUAAUACGUUGCCAACUUGCAAUGUAGCCCGAUUCAGGCAUCUUUUUGUGCCCAGGUUUUGAUGCUU